ensembl:misc_RNA Metazoa_SRP Metazoan signal recognition particle RNA
GCUGGGCAUGGUAGCGCAUGCCUGUAGUCCCAGCUACUCAGGAGACUGAGACAGGAGGAUCACUUGAGCCCAGGAGGUCAAGGCUGCAGUGAGCCAUGACUGCGCCACUGCACUCCAGCCUGGGCAAUAGAGUAAGACCCUGUCUCAA